GGUGGCUCAGUGGUAGAGCACUUGCCUUGCAUGCAUGAGACCCUGGGUUCAAUUCCUCAGUACCA
rnacentral:tRNA from 1 species